rnacentral:lncRNA from 1 species
AGGAAGCUGCAAGAAAGCUGAACAUCUUGUUGCUUCCAUGUUUCUGGCGCGGGAUUUCAUUUACAGUAGCUUUUAGACAACUAAUAAAAUAAAGUCGAUCACUGCUAAGACAACUCAUAGAAGUCAUGUUAGAUAGGAUUUCCAUCAUUUUCAAUCUACGACAAAGGAGACAAGGGCAAGGCAUGGAACAUGUUUACCCUCAAACUUCAUCCACCAUUAGUAAUCUCAAUUUGCUUUUUUCCUGUUCACUUGUCUACUUCACGCUAUCCCUAGCAGCCCCUUUAGUGCCAAAUGUUCGUUGUAGCAUUUUUUCGAUAACACUGAAAUAAAC